rnacentral:rRNA from 1 species
UACGUAGGGUGCGAGCGUUGUCCGGAAUUAUUGGGCGUAAAGAGCUCGUAGGCGGUCUGUCGCGUCUGCUGUGAAAACCCGAGGCUCAACCUCGGGCCUGCAGUGGGUACGGGCAGACUAGAGUGCGGUAGGGGAGAAUGGAACUCCUGGUUUAGCGGUGGAAUGCGCAGAUAUCAGGAAGAACACCGAUGGCGAAGGCAGUUCUCUGGGCCGUAACUGACGCUGAGGAGCGAAAGCGUGGGGAGCGAACAGG